rnacentral:rRNA from 1 species
GAUGAACGCUGGCGGCGUGCCUAAUACAUGCAAGUCGAGCGAACGGACGAGAAGCUUGCUGUUUUGAUGUUAGCGGCGGACGGGUGAGUAACACGUGGAUAACCUACCUAUAAGACUGGGAUAACUUCGGGAAACCGGAGCUAAUACCGUAUAAUAUUUUGAACCGCAUUGUGCAAAAGUGAAGACGGUCUUGCUGUCACGUAUAGAUGGAUCCGCGCUGCAUUAGCUAGUUGGUAAGGUAACGGCUUACCAAGGCAACGAUGCAUAGCCGACCUGAUAGGGUGAUCGCCCACAUUGGAACGUAGACACGGUCCAGACGACUACGGUAGGCCGCAGUAGCGUAUCGUCCGCAAUGGGCGAAAGCCUGACGCAGCGACGGCGAGUCAGUGAUGAAGGUCUUCGGUUCGUAAAACUCUGUUAUUAGGGAAGAACAUAUGUGUAAGUAACUGUGCCCAUCUUGACGGUACCGAAUCAGAAAGCAACGGCUAACUACGUG